UGAUAUACCAGACCCGAAGUGGAUUUG
rnacentral:piRNA from 1 species